UCCCCUUUUAUUUAAUGUUCCUUUUCUGGCAGCUUCUCCUUUUUAUUUCUCUCCAAUUUAAAACACAGUUAAAAAGCUGUGGUUGAUUCCAAUUAAAUACCCCCUUUGGGAUUACUAAAACACACACACUCACACGCACACAAAGACCCCCUCUUUGAUUGUUUCCACGGCAACGUAUUUAAAUAUCUCAUUCACGGUGUCCAAGUGAAGAGCUGAAGGAUUUGGAGAAGCUCCUUCUUUUUCCACUCCCUCACCUCUCUCCUCCCCCAGUUACUCAUGCAAUGGCAGCAACAGUUUGGCUGGAAUGCAGAGUGGAUGUGGAAGAUGUGAAUAUGCUUCUGGAAUUCCAGAGGAGGAGCUGAGCCAAUAAUAUGUCCAACUAUAAUGCAGAACUGUUGUAAUUACUUAGGAACAGUGGGAAUGAUAGCAGAGUAUUGUCAGUAAUCGCACGUCAAAUUCUGCCAUUCCCUAAAAUAGGACAACCACAGAGCAACUCUGCUGGGACCCAUAGGGCUGUGUUGGCUCGGAGGUGGUUGGGAAAGAAGAGAAGGGGCUGAUCUUGGAGUUACCCAAAAGCAGUGGCAAACCAAAGGCAAGGAAACUGCAACUUGAAGAGUCAGACAUCAGAGGACGAAGUUGCCGCAUGUAUCCCAGCACUGCUAAACUUGUGGCUUAGAAACAAGGAUGGAAAUAUUUCUGGACGACACUCAUUUCCCAAUGCUCCGUAGAGACCGCAGAACCUUGCAAAACAGUUCGCAUUCGUCAAUGUUUUAUUCCUAUGACUAAAACCCCGUGGGAUUUAAGUGUGCUUCUCCGUGUUGUCUGGCAAGGAAUUGGGUAAUGAAUGACCACGUUAGGAACCACUUGGCCAGAAAACAGAUGAGAACAACAUUGGUGAGCACUGUCUGAUCAUGAGGAGUGAGAUGAAGGAGGGAGAGAGAUGGAACACCGAUGGUUCAUUGCAGACUUACUUGGGAAACUCUGCAAAGAUGGCACUUUGUGCAUCUUUCUCCUUCACCCAUUUUAUUUCAUUUCUGGGCUGUCAUUUCAGCAACAUCUUUAACAAAUGAAAACCCUCUGCGCAGUCAAUAGUAAUUACAGGAAUUUAUCACAAUUGCCAAUCAAGGUGUGUUGGAAAGACUCAUCUUUCUCGUUUAAAUUAGCCUUCGCUGCGCACAGGCCACAAGUUAUCUUUAGGAAAUCAAUUGUGGGAAAAUUACAGCUUUUGUGGUGUUCUGUGACCUCAGCAGCCAUCACGCAGCUGAGUUCCCUCCCACCCUCCCCCCCCCAGCUGCUUGUGUGGCCUCGUACAGCUGUUUGCUGGGGGGUUUGGACCUCAGCACAAAGCCUGGAAUUGUUCUUCAUGCAUCUGGAGGCAGUGAGGGUGUCAGAUAAAAUGUAGGCAUGAUUCGGGCACUUUUGUAAAUGAACAGGAGGAGAGAAGGCCCUGGUCAGAUUUACACCUUUAUCUGUUUCACUGCUCCGAACCAGGCUGGCAGGAGUUCUGCCUUCGGCAGUGCUGAUGCAGCUCCCAUUGGAAAUGCAGACCAGGCUGACACAGCUCAGGGCAAAAUUCAGCUGUGCGUGGAGCUGCAAACGCCGUCUCCCGGAUGAUUAAUGCACAUUUGUAAGGAGUUUCUUCUCUGCUGAUAAUGCUGCCAUGAGGAAGGAUCUUCAGCUGCUAUAUAUCAGCCUGAGUUCUGACUGUAGGUGAGUACAGGUUUCCUCCUCCACUCCCACUGCUUCCCCAGAGACAGCGGUGUUUGCAGAGGCUUAAUAAAGCAGGAAAGAGAGCAGGUGUGAAAGGAAACAUCAAUUACCAUUAGCCCUGACAAUCCUGGACGAUCCCACCCAUGGCGAAGAGGCUUGGCGCACUUUAAUGAGUCUAAAGAAGAGGAUUUACGCUGAACUAACUCACUCCAUGGCGCACACGUGGCGGUGGGAUGAGGGAGCUCUCCGCAGUGCUGAACCUGCAGCAGGACGACAUGGAAGAAAAUAAAGGAAACGAUAUCCUGUGGCACAAUGACCCACUCCUGAGGCUGCAGUGUUUGAUUCCCACAGUGGGGCCGGAGCUGUGAGCUGUAGCUGCAGGAGGAGGGGGAAAGGACCAAAGGAAGGACCUGGUUCAAUCAACCCAAACAGCCCAUUUGGGUCUCUAGUAGACAGGAGAUUGACUGCGUGCUUCCCUCACUCUGGAGGCACUGAUGGAUACCCUCUGGAUGCACCCCCUGAGCAUUCCAUCCCCUCCAUCGUUGCACUCCUCUGGUGUGUUUUUGUCACCCAUUUGGGCCACUUAAUUACAUUCCCUUUUCUUUUGGAAAAAGCUGAUGUGUAAUUAUUUCCAUGAUUAACACUCUUGUGCAGCUAAUUGUAAUUACACCUUAUAAUCACAGUUACGAUCGUCAAUUACUCAUCUUUGCCUCAUUUCAGUGUUUUUCUUUAUCUGAGUUUCUGGAAGUUAUCCUCACCCAAUACACACACACAACAAACUGCCUCAGCUUUCCAAACUUCUCUGUCUUCCUCCGGGGGGAUUAAUCUGAGGCCGCAGUAAAGGCCGCAUCAUUGGCUGCUGUAAAUCAUGGCAGCUUCACUCGUGCCAAUGCAACAGUGCUCUGCAGCAGCCAGGAUGUCAGACAUCUCACUAAGAAAGCAAUGCCAUCUGAGAAGAUAUAUCUGCCUCCAAGUCAUUUUUUAUGUAUUUUCCACAUAUUGAGUAAUGCGUAUUUCUCCUUUUUGUAUCUCUAACCCUUUGUAUAUCUUAGGGAACUAAGAGAAAUCAAACCAGCGUGAAUACUUGCCAGCUUGUACAUUAUGCAGUACUUUGAAGCACGUUUCUUCCUACACCUUGAGCAUACACAGGGGACCGAUUUUCCUCCUGCUCAUGCUGAUGUGUGGAGCUGUCAGUGGGAACUGUGUGGCUCCUGGGUUACCCCCCAGUCAGUGCAAACAGCAUCAGUCAUGGGAGGAGUACAUCACUUUUACAGGGAGGACUCCAUGAUAAAUCCAGGCCGCACAGAGGACGUUCAAUAGGCAGAGUCCUUUACUUACAACUUAUGGAACAAUGUGAUAUCCAACUCAGAACACAGUCAGAGUUUUGUUAAGCUUGCUUUCAGCCAUCAGCGGGUGACAACAGAUUUAUUAACUGGAGUGGAUGCCCAGGAGCUCAGAUUCGUGACUUAAUGGAGCUGGACUCUGCUGGGUGCUGUGGAAAUACAAAAUGGGUUCAUAUAGAAGUCUGAUGGAAACUAUCAGUGCUCCAUCCUCGCUGGGCAUGUGCCUCUGUGCAUGGUGCUUCUUCCCAACCAGAGCACAUCAGAGCCAGAGCAGAGCUGCUGUCUUCACAUUUAUCCCCAUUCCCAAAGACUCGGCUGAACAAUCAAGGAGGUGAACUCCCAACCUGGAGAUUACUGCUGCAUUAAUAAAGCAACUGUGAACGAACUGCUUCAGCUGCUUGAGCCAACCAGGAUUAUUAAACGAGCUCCCUGAUUUAAUUAGAGUGCGUAAAACUCAUGCUAAAAACAAAAAUGCAGCUCUCAGCUGGAACGUGAGCUUUGUGCAGGAGGGGUCACUGCGAAGGUCAGCUCUUCCUGCAGUUUAUUCACAGUGAUUGAAUCAAACACUGAGGUGGAAGCAGACAGCCCCAGCAGAGCUGCUGUCCUGCAGCACAGCUCUGGGCACUGCCUGAGGGCAGCAGGCACUGCGGCUUUGUUCCGCCUGCCCGGCUCCUUGUGUGAAACAGCCUGAAAGAACAGGGUCUGCAUUGGAUUACAGAAAUAAAGCCACGUGCAUCAGCACUGCCAGUCUUACUGCAUUGCACACAGCGUGAGCUGCUCCCUGCUGGGCAGAUGGACACGGAGACUCAGGGACAUGGGGAC
ensembl:lncRNA